CAGUCGCCGCGGUAAUACAGAGGAUGCAAGCGUUAUCCGGAAUGAUUGGGCAUAAAGCGUCUGUAGGUGGCUUUUCAAGUCCGCCUUCAAAUCCCAGGGCUCAACCUUGGAACUGCCUUUGAUACUGGACAUCUUGAGUGUGGGAGAGGUAAGCGGGACUCCGAGUGUGGAGGUGAAAUUCGUAGAUAUUCGGAAGAACACCAGUGGCGAAGGCGGCUUACUGGUCCGGAACUGACGCUGAGGCACGACAGCGUGGGGAGCAAACAGGAUUAGAUACCCCAGUAGUCCCUGUCUCUUAUAC
rnacentral:rRNA from 1 species